rnacentral:rRNA from 1 species
GACGAACGCUGGCGGCGUGCUUAACACAUGCAAGUCGAACGGAAAGGCCCUGCUUUUGUGGGGUGCUCGAGUGGCGAACGGGGGAGUAACACGUGAGUAACCUGCCCUUUACUUUGGGAUAAAUUCAGGAAACUGGGGCUAAUACCGGAUAGGAGCUCCUGCUGCAUGGUGGGGGUUGGAAAGUUUCGGCGGUUGGGGAUGGACGCGCGGCUUAUCAGCUUGUUGGUGGGGUAGUGGCUUACCAAGGCUUCGACGGGUAGCCGGCCUGAGAGGGUGACCGGCCUCAUUAGGACUGAGAUACGGCGCAGACUGCUACGGGAGGCAGCAGUGGGGAACGUUGCGCAAUAGGCCGACGCCUGUUGCAGCAACGCCGCGUGCGGGAUGACGGGCUUCUGGUUGUGAACCGCUUUCGCCUGUGACGAAGCGUGAGUGACGGUAAUUGGUCAAGAAGCACCGGCUAACUACGUG